GAUGAACGCUAGCUACAGGCUUAACACAUGCAAGUCGAGGGGAAACGACAUCGAAAGCUUGCUUUUGAUGGGCGUCGACGGGCGCACGGGUGAGUAACGCGUAUCCAACCUGCCCACCACUUGGGGAUAACCUUGCGAAAGUAAGACUAAUACCCAAUGAUAUCUCUAGAAGACAUCUGAAAGAGAUUAAAGAUUUAUCGGUGAUGGAUGGGGAUGCGUCUGAUUAGCUUGUUGGCGGGGUAACGGCCCACCAAGGCUACGAUCAGUAGGGGUUCUGAGAGGAAGGCCCCCCACAUUGGAACUGAGACACGGUCCAAACUCCUACGGGAGGCAGCAGUGAGGAAGAUUGGUCAAUGGGCGAGAGCCUGAACCAGCCAAGUAGCGUGCAGGAUGACGGCCCUAUGGGUUGUAAACUGCUUUUAUAAGGGAAUAAAGUGAGCCUCGUGAGGCUUUUUGCAUGUACCUUAUGAAUAAGGACCGGCUAAUUCCGUGCCAGCAGCCGCCGUAA
rnacentral:rRNA from 1 species